GUUUGCUGAGUUAUUUUAGACACUUCUAGCCUCAAGGUAAGUUAUUUUAGGGACUAGCCUCGAUUGGUAACUGGUUCCACCAUUGGGGUGCAAGUUCAGAUCACAUGGUCAGAAGGAAUCCUGGCCCUAGAGAUUAUAGGGAAGAGAGAAGCCGUCAAGGCUGAACGGUUCCACUGUGAUGAUGAUUGAAGGUUUCUGUCCCCAGAGGACUUUCCCCCAGCCACUGUGAGUCCCCUCAUCACCUCAACUGUAAACCUCAGUGCCACCACUGAUUUCACACCUUCAGGUUAGCCAUUACUUGAACAGUCAACCCAGUUUCAAAUGUAAUAUAUUAUUGUAUGUGCCAUACUCUCAGUGUUGAACUCCUCAAUGUUGUCCUUCAUUCCAGACAUACUUUUUGAGGUAAAUGGGAACGUGACCUUUACCGGCUCCUGUGAUGAUCCUGGACUUUCUGUCAUUACAUGGGUGUGUGAGCUGAAAAUACUGCCUUUCUUCAGACAAAUGCUCAAUCUAGUCUGGACAAACCUGUGUUACUGAUCCAUUGCUUCUUCUGUGUAACUUUCAGCUGGAUUACAUUCUACCGCCUGAGAUGUCUCUUCUGACCUUAAAAAUUAUUGGAAAAACAUACAGAGGGCCGCAUCCAACACCACAAUCAGACAGGGUUGAUUCUAAUCAGCCUUCUGUGGUCAACAUUUCAAGAUACGGCUGCCUGUUCCAACUGCUGGUGACAACAACCUCAAGCCAGGAGGAGACAAAGACAAAAAUCCGUAACCUCCUGGAGGCGGAUUACACAGAUAAAGUCAUAACCAUACUACUGCAUUUUAAGGACAUCAAUAUUCGUCAUAUUGGUAUGCUUCACUUUGAUGGACACAUGAAAAUCCAAUUUAAAGCACUGGUAUUGUCUUUAAAAGAGAUGGUGGGUGGGUAGAACCAGAAUAACUGUUAUGUCGGAGUUGUGAGUGAGUUGAUGCUUCAUUUUCCUUGUCCCCCCAGCGCUAGGGAAUUGUAAUAAGACUCGACACCAGACCCGACAGGGCCUGUUUGAAUGGCCGAUCACCACGGCUCUUCAGACUGCUAAGCAGCCAUGUCAGGGAGACCGCAACAAGACCGCUAGCAGACAGUGGUGAGACAGUCAACAUAACAUGUAGUAAUUAUUUGUCCUACAUCAGUGGUUCCCCACCAGGGUACCUUAAAAGACUCAUGAGACUGGUAAAAGGCAAAUGGUUCUCAGUAUACAGCAAAAUUCACCUGGUGGAACAGUUCCCGAAAAAGGUUGGGAACCACCUACAUUAUGGAAACUCAUGAAAGAUUGCAUAGGUAAACAGCUUUGCUGACCUAUAAUGUUGUCUCUCGUUGAGUAGUUAAGUUGUAGAGAGGUAUUGCUUCUGUCUCAUUAGAUUUUACAGCGUAUUUAAUUUUGCUGUCAGAGACUGCACUGCUCUCGACAUAAUGACCAAGCAAUUUCUCUUUAACACUAGAAUAGGGCUGUAUGCACUGCACAUUUAUGACAAAAUCAAUCAAUG
rnacentral:lncRNA from 1 species